UAGGGAAUCUUCCGCAAUGGGCGAAAGCCUGACGGAGCAACGCCGCGUGAGUGAAGAAGGAUUUCGGUUCGUAAAGCUCUGUUGUUAGGGAAGAAUGAUUGUGUAGUAACUAUACACAGUAGAGACGGUACCUAACCAGAAAGCCACGGCUAACUACGUGCCAGCAGCCGCGGUAAUACGUAGGUCCCGAGCGUUGUCCGGAUUUAUUGGGCGUAAAGCGAGCGCAGGCGGUUAGAUAAGUCUGAAGUUAAAGGCAGUGGCUCAACCAUUGUAGGCUUUGGAAACUGUUUAACUUGAGUGCAGAAGGGGAGAGUGGAAUUCCAUGUGUAGCGGUGAAAUGCGUAGAUAUAUGGAGGAACACCGGUGGCGAAAGCGGCUCUCUGGUCUGUAACUGACGCUGAGGCUCGAAAGCGUGGGGAGCGAACAGGAUUAGAUACCCUGGUAGUCCACGCCGUAAACGAUGAGUGCUAGGUGUUGGAUCCUUUCCGGGAUUCAGUGCCGCAGCUAACGCAUUAAGCACUCCGCCUGGGGAGUACGACCGCAAGGUUG
rnacentral:rRNA from 1 species